rnacentral:rRNA from 1 species
CCUACGGGAGGCAGCAGUGGGGAAUUUUGGACAAUGGGCGCAAGCCUGAUCCAGCAAUGCCGCGUGCAGGAUGAAGGCCUUCGGGUUGUAAACUGCUUUUGUACGGAACGAAACGGCUCCUAUUAAUACUGGGGGCUAAUGACGGUACCGUAAGAAUAAGCACCGGCUAACUACGUGCCAGCAGCCGCGGUAAUACGUAGGGUGCGAGCGUUAAUCGGAAUUACUGGGCGUAAAGCGUGCGCAGGCGGUUAUAUAAGACAGAUGUGAAAUCCCCGGGCUCAACCUGGGACCUGCAUUUGUGACUGUAUAGCUAGAGUACGGUAGAGGGGGAUGGAAUUCCGCGUGUAGCAGUGAAAUGCGUAGAUAUGCGGAGGAACACCGAUGGCGAAGGCAAUCCCCUGGACCUGUACUGACGCUCAUGCACGAAAGCGUGGGGAGCAAACAGGAUUAGAUACCCUGGUAGUCCACGCCCUAAACGAUGUCAACUGGUUGUUGGGUCUUCACUGACUCAGUAACGAAGCUAACGCGUGAAAGUUGACCGCCUGGGGAGUAACGGCCGCAAGGUUGAAACUUAAAGGAAAUUGACGGNGNGNGAGNGCGAGACGACGACGAGGAGAGG